rnacentral:rRNA from 1 species
ACUCCUACGGGAGGCAGCAGUAGGGAAUAUUGGUCAAUGGGUGAGAGCCUGAACCAGCCAUGCCGCGUGCAGGAAGACGGCCUUCUGGGUUGUAAACUGCUUUUACCAGGGGAUAAAAAGAUCUUGCGGAGUAUUAAUGAACGUGCUGAGAAUAGCACCGGCUAACUACGUGCCAGCAGCCGCGGUAAUACGUAGGGUGCAAGCGUUGUCCGGAUUUAUUGGGUUUAAAGGGUGCGUAGGCGGGCUAUUAAGUCAGUGGUGAAAUCCAGCAGCUUAACUGUUGAUGUGCCAUUGAUACUGGUAGUCUUGAGUACAGAUGAGGUAGGCGGAAUUGACAGUGUAGCGGUGAAAUGCAUAGAUAUUGUCAAGAACUCUGAUAGCGAAGGCAGCUUACUGGGCUGUAACUGACGCUGAUGCACGAAAGUGUGGGGAUCAAACAGGAUUAGAUACCCUGGUAGGAUAGCGU